GCCCGGUUAGCUCAGCGGAAUUAAGAGCAGACGCCUACGAAGCGUAAGGUCGGGGGUUCGAAUCCCUCACCGGGUG
rnacentral:tRNA from 6 species